AUUGAACGCUGGCGGCAGGCCUAACACAUGCAAGUCGAGCGGAUGAGUGGAGCUUGCUCCAUGAUUCAGCGGCGGACGGGUGAGUAAUGCCUAGGAAUCUGCCUGGUAGUGGGGGACAACGUUUCGAAAGGAACGCUAAUACCGCAUACGUCCUACGGGAGAAAGUGGGGGAUCUUCGGACCUCACGCUAUCAGAUGAGGCUAGGUCGGAUUAGCUAGUUGGUGAGGGAAAGGCUCACCAAGGCGACGAUCCGUAACUGGUCUGAGAGGAUGAUCAGUCACACUGGAACUGAGACACGGUCCAGACUCCUACGGGAGGCAGCAGUGGGGAAUAUUGGACAAUGGGCGAAAGCCUGAUCCAGCCAUGCCGCGUGUGUGAAGAAGGUCUUCGGAUUGUAAAGCACUUUAAGUUGGGAGGAAGGGCAGUAAGUUAAUACCUUGCUGUUUUGACGUUACCAACAGAAUAAGCACCGGCUAACUUCGUGCCAGCCGCCGCGGUAACAC
rnacentral:rRNA from 1 species